UGUUACUUCCCUGUACAUUUACCAAGGCAGCAGAAAUAUUCAGUGUAAUCUACCAGCUAUAAAUCAUUCAUAUCUUUACCUCUCUGUUUGUAUGCAGCAAGUAAAAACAACAUUGCCGGCAAGUCCCGAGAAGAGCUCGCUCUGGAGAAACAACUUGAGCUGGAGAGAAGGCUGAUUGAUGUCAGUGGUCAGCUGAAUUCUGGAAAGAAGCCUGCUAAGACCAAACCAGAGAAACCUGCAGCAGAGCAGAACACUCAGCCAUCACGUCUCAGCGCCAGUAGCUCCUCCUCAGACUCCUCUUCAUCCUCCUCCUCCUCCUCAUCUUCAGACACAAGUGACUCAGACUCAGGCUGAGAGGCAGAGGGUUUUCUCCGUGAAAGGGUCAUACAAGAGACCCACAGCGUUUUGCUUUGAUUGGACUACACUGCAGCAGAGCUAGCAACGAUUGAGCCGCAGGACGGAUCAGACGAGAGCAGCACUGGGCAGAACUGGUCUGACUUAACAAGUGUUCAACCAAGAAUAGAGAGAGAUGGGGCUUUCCCUGCGCUCGUCUCAUUCAUCCAGUCCUGUCCUGGACAAAGAAAAGCCGAUGAUGGAUGGAUGGAAAUGAGGAUACUCACUACGAGAUCCUCCAUUUUUGAGAGAAAUGCCUUCGUUGUCCAGAGCCGGGGAUGCUCCAUCUCCUGCAACAACAAAAAGAGUGACGCAUGUGUCUGGAGGGAUAAGGGUGCUACUGCCAGAAUCUGUCUUAUUUCUGGAGAUCAUUUCCCUUCUUUCCGUGCUCCUUGUCUUUACGCUGUAUAGUUAAGGUGUACAGUUAUAUAAAUAUCUAUAUUUCUUUUAUAAAGAAGCAUUUUAUGGAGCUAAUUUAUUCCCUCAUUGUGGGAAAGACUGGUGUGGGCGAAGUCGUGUUUUAGUUUUUGUUCAGUUUUUUUUCUUGAGUAAUAGAAGGUCGAGGGGAAACGCGUAUGUUUGAGUGUGUGUAUGUUGGGCGUAUGUGUCGGUGCAUGUGUGUGUGUGUGGGUGUAGAACUGUAUGAGUGUGUCCAGUAUGCAUGCACAUGUGUGAGUGUAAGAUCGGGCGCCACAAGUUCAGCCUCAUAAGUUCCUCAUAGAUUUAACGCAGGCGUUGAAAAUCAGUCUGCACGCAGAAGCACCUUGGUUCAUAGAAUACAGAAUGCAUGCAAUACAGGAGAGCUGACAAGCAUCUGCAUACUCAUGUACUUCUUUACUGCAUACUUGUGUACUCAUGUACUUGUUUUAAAGGGUUGGCCACUUGUACAGAAAUGUAACAUAGUUACACAAUAGUUAAUAUUCUGUCCCCAUGUGUGCUGUCUUUUUUUUCAUCCAUUUCUCUGUAAUCGUGUUCAUUUUCUCUUCUUGUGACCAAUCUGCUAAUAAAUUGUGAGGACUUGUUUCGUCUGCUCACCUGUGCCCAAAU